AGGAGUGGAGCCUGCGGCUUAAUUUGACUCAACACGGGAAACCUCACCAGGCCCGGACACCGGAAGGAUUGACAGAUUGAGAGCUCUUUCUUGAUUCGGUGGGUGGUGGUGCAUGGCCGUUCUUAGUUGGUGGAGCGAUUUGUCUGGUUAAUUCCGAUAACGAACGAGACUCUAGCCUGCUAACUAGGCGUAUUUCGACAUCCCAAAGGCCCGCCGGUUUAGGGUUUCGACCCUUUUCCGCGCGCGGUUUUUACUGUCGGCGUACAAACAAUUCUUCUUAGAGGGACAGGCGGCUUCUAGCCGCACGAGAUUGAGCAAUAACAGGUCUGUGAUGCCCUUAGAUGUUCUGGGCCG
rnacentral:rRNA from 1 species